GACGAACGCUGGCGGCGUGCUUAACACAUGCAAGUCGAACGGAAAGGCCCUGCUUGCAGGGUACUCGAGUGGCGAACGGGUGAGUAACACGCGGGGUAUCUGCCCUGCACUCCGGGAUAAGCCUGGGAAACUGGGUCUAUUAUCGGAUAGGAGCCAUUUUUAGUGUGAUGGUUGGAAAGUUUUUUCGGUGUAGGAUGAGCUCGCGGCCUAUCAGCUUGUUGGUGGGGUAAUGGCAUACCAAGGCGGCGACGGGUAGCCGGCCUGAGAGGGUGGGCAGCCACAUUGGGACUGGGAUACAGACACGACUCCGACGGGUAGGAGCAGUGGGGAAGGUUGAAAAAUGGGCGUGAGCCUGAUGCAGCGACGCCACGGGGGGGAGAACGGUCUUCGGGUUGUGAACUCAUUGCGCUAGGGACGAAGCUUUUUGUGACGGUACCUAGAUAAGAAGCACCGGCUAACUACGUG
rnacentral:rRNA from 1 species